rnacentral:rRNA from 1 species
UACGGAGGGAGCUAGCGUUGUUCGGAAUUACUGGGCGUAAAGCGCACGUAGGCGGCUUUGUAAGUUAGAGGUGAAAGCCCGGGGCUCAACCCCGGAAUUGCCUUUAAGACUGCAUCGCUUGAAUCCAGGAGAGGUGAGUGGAAUUCCGAGUGUAGAGGUGAAAUUCGUAGAUAUUCGGAAGAACACCAGUGGCGAAGGCGGCUCACUGGACACAUAUUGACGCUGAGGUGCGAAAGCGUGGGGAGCAAACAGG